CGCGGCUCUCGGCGGUCACGUGGGCGCCGCGCGCUCGGCCAGGCCCCGUUUCGUCCCGCCGGUGGAAGAGAGGGUGGGACCCUGGUUCAGCACUUUGGGCUCAGAAGGCUUCUAGAAGAGGACAUCUACUCAAAAACUCAUUCUCACCUAGAAGACAACCUGGGAAAUAUUUGAGACGCAUGGAGAGGGCGACUGAAGAUCCACUUUUAACUCCUUGAUUUGAAUGGUCCAUGGAGACAUGCACCAGGCC
rnacentral:lncRNA from 1 species